rnacentral:rRNA from 1 species
AGGACGAACGCUGGCGGCGUGCUUAACACAUGCAAGUCGAGCGGUAAGGCUCCUUCGGGAGUACACGAGCGGCGAACGGGUGAGUAACACGUGAGCAAUCUGCCCUUCACACUGGGAUAACCCCGGGAAACCGGGGCUAAUACCGGAUGCGACCACCGACGGCAUCGUCUGGUGGUGGAAAGUUCCGGCGGUGGGGGAUGAGCUCGCGGCCUAUCAGCUUGUUGGUGGGGUAAUGGCCUACCAAGGCUUCGACGGGUAGCCGGCCUGAGAGGGUGACCGGCCACACUGGGACUGAGACACGGCCCAGACUCCUACGGGAGGCAGCAGUGGGGAAUAUUGGACAAUGGGCGAAAGCCUGAUCCAGCAACGCCGCGUGAGGGAUGACGGCCUUCGGUUGUAACCUCUUUCAGCAGGGACGAAGCGCAAGUGACGGUACCUGCAGAAGAAGCACCGGCCAACUACGUGCCAGCAGCCGC